UACGGGGGGAGCAAGCGUUGUUCGGAUUUACUGGGCGUAAAGCGUGCGCAGGCGGUUUGCUAAGACAGGUGUGAAAUCCCCGGGCUUAACCUGGGAACUGCGCUUGUAACUGGCAAGCUGGAGUGUGGCAGAGGGGGGUGGAAUUCCACGUGUAGCAGUGAAAUGCGUAGAGAUGUGGAGGAACACCGAUGGCGAAGGCAGCCUCCUGGGCCAGCACUGACGCUCAUGCACGAAAGCGUGGGGAGC
rnacentral:rRNA from 1 species